rnacentral:rRNA from 1 species
GACGAACGCUGGCGGCGUGCUUAACACAUGCAAGUCGAGCGGUAAGGCUCCUUCGGGAGUACACGAGCGGCGAACGGGUGAGUAACACGUGAGUAAUCUGCCCUUCACUUCGGGAUAACCACCGGAAACGGUGGCUAAUACCGAAUACGACCAGUCUUCGCAUGAGGGGCUGGGGGAAAGUCGUUUCGGUGAAGGAUGUGCUCGCGGCCUAUCAGCUUGUUGGUGGGGUAAUGGCCUACCAAGGCUUCGACGGGUAGCCGGCCUGAGAGGGUGACCGGCCACACUGGGACUGAGACACGGCCCAGACUCCUACGGGAGGCAGCAGUGGGGACUAUUGGACAAUGGGCGCAAGCCUGAUCCAGCAACGCCGCGUGCGGGAUGACGGCCUUCGGGUUGUACACCUCUUUCAGUACCGACGAAGCGCCCUGUCGGGUGGUGACGGUAGGUACAGAAGAAGGACCGGCCAACUACGUG